GUGAGGAAUAUUGGUCAAUGGGCGAGAGCCUGAACCAGCCAAGUCGCGUGAAGGAAGAAGGAUCUAUGGUUCGUAAACUUCUUUUGCAGGGGAAUAAAGUGCGGGACGUGUCCUGUUUUGUAUGUACGCUGAGAAUAAGGAUCGGCUAACUCCGUGCCAUCAGCCGCGGUAAUACGGAGGAUCCGAGCGUUAUCCGGAUGUAUUGGGUUUAACGGGUGCGUAGGUGGUUUGAUAAGUCAGCGGUGAAAGUUUGCAGCUUAACUGUAAAAAUGCCGUUGAAACUGUCGGACUAGAGUGUAAAUGAGGUAGGCGGAAUGCGUGGUGUAGCGGUGAAAUGCAUAGAUAUCACGCAGAACUCCGAUUGCGAAGGCAGCUUACUAAGCUACAACUGACACUGAAGCACGAAAGCGUGGGGAUCAAACAGGAUUAGAAACCCUUGUAGUCC
rnacentral:rRNA from 1 species